GACGAACGCUGGCGGCGUGCUUAACACAUGCAAGUCGAACGAUGAAGCCCAGCUUGCUGGGUGGACGAGUGGCGAACGGGUGAGUAAAACGUGAGUAACCUGCCCUGAACUCUGGGAUAAGCACUGGAAAAGGUGUCUAAUACUGGAUACGACCUAUCACCGCAUGGUGUGUGGGUGGAAAGAUUUAUCGGUUCUGGAUGGACUCGCGGCCUAUCAGCUGGAUGGUGGGGUAAUGGCUCACCAUGGCGUCGACGGGUAGCCGGCCUGAGAGGGUGACCGGCCACACUGGGACUGAGACACGGCCCAGACUCCUACGGGAGGCAGCAGUGGGGAAUAUUGCACAAUGGGCGGAAGCCUGAUGCAGCAACGCCGCGUGAGGGAUGACGGCCUUCGGGUUGUAAACCUCUUUUGGUAGGGAAGAAGCGAAAGUGACGGUACCUGCAGAAGAAGCACCGGCUAACUACGUG
rnacentral:rRNA from 1 species